AGAGGGUAGAGUAGAGGGUAGAGUAGAGGGUAGAGUAGAGGGUAGAGUAGAGGGCGUUAGAGUAGAGGGUAGAGUAGGGGGUAGAGUAGAGGGCGUUAGAGUAGAGAGUAGAGUAGACGGCAUUAGAGUAGAGGGUAGAGUAGACGGCAUUAGAGUAGAGGGUAGAGUAGAGGGUAGAGUAGAGGGUAGAGUAGAGGGUAGAGUAGAGGGUAGAGUAGACGGCGUUAGAGUAGAGGGUAGAGUAGAGGGUAGAGUAGAGGGUAGAGUAGACGGCAUUAGAGUAGAGGGUAGAGUAGAGGGUAGAGUAGACGUUAGAGUAGAGAGUAGAG
ensembl:lncRNA